GAAUUAGAGAAUAAAAUCCCAGCACGAUGUUUCUCAUUGGAGACACCAGUCCAGCUGAGGACAAUAGAGAAGCCGCCCUUCCUCAAUGUUCAGAAAACAAUUCAUGAAUCUAAGGGAUCUGGAAUGGAGAUAUUUUAAGGGGCUUGCGAAGUGGAGGCGCACUACUGCAAUUUCAUUCAGAGACAUAAAAUACAACACUGAGAAGAGAUUUGUAGAGAGCCAGGACAUGCCUGAUAUUAUUUUCCCCCCUAUAGUUCGCAAGUCUUUGGUCAUUUAUCCUCAAACUGAUUAUCAAAAUGAAGGAAGUUAUUGUCUUAAAUGGAAUAUGUAGUGUAUUAAAAUAUUUUGGAUAUAGA
rnacentral:sRNA from 1 species